GAUGAACGCUGGCGGCGUGCCUAAUACAUGCAAGUCGAGCGAACAGACGAGAGUGCUUGCACUCUCUGACGUUAGCGGCGGACGGGUGAGUCACACGUGGGUAACCUACCUAUAAGACUGGGAUAACUUCGGGAAACCGGAGCUAAUACCGGAUAAUAUUUAGCUUCGCAUGAAGCAAUAGUGAAAGACGGUUCUGCUGUCACUUAUAGAUGGACCCGCGGUGUAUUAGCUAGUUGGUUAGGUAACGGCUCACCAAGGCAACGAUACAUAGCCGACCUGAGAGGGGGAUAGGCCACACUGGGACUGAGACAGGGCCCAGACGACUGAGGGAGGCAGCAGUAGGGAAUGGUACGCAAUGGACGAAAGUAUGACGGAGCAAGGCCGCGUGAGUGAAGAAGGUUUUCGGAUCGUAAAACUCUGUUGUAAGGGAAGAACAAGUACGUUAGUAAAUGAACGUAGAGUGACGGUACCGGACAAGAAAGCAACGGCUAACUACGUG
rnacentral:rRNA from 1 species